rnacentral:rRNA from 1 species
UACGGAGGGUGCGAGCGUUGAUCGGAAUCAUUGGGCGUAAAGGGCGCGUAGGCGGUUUGUUAAGUCUGAUGUGAAAUCCCCGGGCUUAACCUGGGAAUUGCAUUUCAAACUGGCCGACUAGAGUACGGUAGAGGGAGGUAGAAUUUCCUGUGUAGCGGUGAAAUGCGUAGAUAUAGGAAGGAAUACCAGUGGCGAAGGCGGCCUCCUGGAUCGAUACUGACGCUGAGGCGCGAAAGCGUGGGGAGCAAACAGG